AGCUACCCAGCCCAAACUGAAUGGGGGACUCACCAUCAGCCUGAACAGAGAUGAUCUGAAGGAUGAAGACGACAGAUCCCUGGAGAAAGGCAUGAACUGUUCAUAGAAUGACCUGGCUUCUUCUUGUCAUCCCAUCUCAACUGUCAAGGAAGUCUGCAAGUGGAAAGGACAUUCUGGAACCUUCAGACUCCAGGACCACGUCAACAGAAGAGGUAACGGUGAGUGGAAGAGGUAAAACCAGAACAAAGUGGCAUCUCCUUGGCUGGGGCACAGUUCUGUGGAAAAGACUCUGGUGGUUCUAGGGGUCAGCAAGCCAAACAUCAGUCAGCAGCAAAGGCAGCCAACUGCAUCCUGAGCUGUAUUAAAAAGAACACAGCCAGUAGUUCCAAAGAAGUUAUUAUCUCCUUCUACUCAGUGCUCAUUAGACCACA